rnacentral:rRNA from 1 species
AACGAACGCUGGCGGCAGGCCUAACACAUGCAAGUCGAACGCCCCGCAAGGGAGGUGGCAGACGGGUGAGUAACGCGUGGGAACCUUCCCUGUGGUGCGGAAUAACUCGCCGAAAGGCGAGCUAAUACCGCAUAAGCCCGAAACGGGGAAAGGAUUUAUCGCCAUAGGAUGGGCCCGGCCGUAGGAUUAGCUAGUUGGUGAGGUAAUGGCUCACCAAGGCUGCGAUCCUUAGCUGGUUUGAGAGAAUGACCAGCCACACUGGGACUGAGACACGGCCCAGACUCCUACGGGAGGCAGCAGUGGGGAAGUCUUGGACAAUGGGCGCAAGCCUGAUCCAGCCAUGCCGCGUGAGUGACGAAGGCCUUC